rnacentral:rRNA from 1 species
GAUGAACGCUGGCGGCGCGCUUAACACAUGCAAGUCGAACGAGAAGUGGAGACGGAAACCUUCGGGCGGAAGACUUUACUUCGAGUGGCGGACGGGUGAGUAACGCGUGGGUAACCUGCCUCAUACAGGGGGAUAACAGUUGGAAACGACUGUUAAUACCGCAUAAGACCACAGCACCGCAUGGUGCGGGGGUAAAAACUCCGGUGGUAUGAGAUGGACCCGCGUUCGAUUAGCCAGUUGGCGGGGUAACGGCCCACCAAAGCGACGAUCGAUAGCCGAUCUGAGAGGAUGACCGGCCACAUUGGGACUGAGACACGGCCCAAACUCCUACGGGAGGCAGCAGUGGGGAAUAUUGCACAAUGGGGGAAACCCUGAUGCAGCGACGCCGCGUGAGUGAAGAAGUAUUUCGGUAUGUAAAGCUCUAUCAGCAGGGAGGAAAAUGACAGUACCUGAGUAAGAAGCCCCGGCUAACUACGUG